AUCAAUCUGUGCUCAAAGUCAAAUCUUUGUUUAUGUAAUUCAAAAACACAAUAUUUCAAAUUAAAUAAUAAAUUUUGACAAAAGUUUUCGUAAUUUAUAGUUCGUAGAAUUGUUUCGUUUAACAAAAUGGGUACCGUGCAUGCUAAGGCUGAACGAGAAAGUGACAAGGACGCCGUGGGUAGUGGGAUAUUUGAGUUUGAAGAACCUGACGCCUUUGAGGAGCCAGUCGCUAAGCCCAGCAUCAAGCUUAACGGAGUUAGGGCUCGUGUAGAUCGUGUCCAUGUGGAUGGGCUGAGCAGAACUAAAGAUGACAUAAUAAAGAGUACUAUUGAUGAAUUGUUCCAUGCAACAGACUUUGAAGAUGUCAUUCUACGUGCACAUAAGGUUCGCCGAGCACUGGACUCUAUGGGAUGCUUCAGAGACAUUGGCGUGUACAUUGACGUCUCCAGUGGGCCAGGAGCCACGCCUGAGGGUCUGGAGGUGACGUUUCAAGUGAAAGAGUUAUCUCGGAUCGUCGGCGGAAUUAAUACCACAGUCAGUGAAAAUGAGGGCAAUCUUGUGUUGGGGGUGAAGCUGCCGAACGUACUUGGUCGCGGCGAGCGCGUGGCGGCCGAGUACAGCGUGGGGCACCGCAGCUCCUCGAACUUCAACGUGUCUGCCACCAAGCCCUACCCCCAUAGCACUCUAACCCCAGUGUUGUCGGCGACGGUGUACCAGCAGAACCACGAGUACCCGUGGUCGGGCUACAAGCUGCUGGACCGCGGCCUGCUGCUCGACGUUGCCUUCAAGACCUCGCCAGUGACGAAGCACAACCUGCAGUGGGAGGGCGUGGUGCGCGACACGGCGGUGCUAAGCAAGACCACCAGCUUCAAGGUGCGCGAGAGCAGCGGUCCCCAGAUGAAGUCCGUGAUCCGGCACAUCGUGACGGUGGACCACCGCGACGAGCCAAUCUUCCCCACGCGCGGCUCGUGGGUGCAGUUCAGCAGCGAGCUGGCCGGGCUCGGCGGCGGCGUGGCCAACGUGCGCACCGAGCUGCAGGCGCAGACCAACAGGGAGCUGGCGCCCGGCUGUGUGGUGCAGGUGUCCGGCGCGCUGGGCGUGCUGCACGACAUGUACGGGACGGACAUCCCUGACCACUUCUACCUGGGCGGGCCCGCCACGCUGCGCGGCUUCCGGCAGAGGGGCGUGGGGCCGCAUGCUGACCAGCAGGCGUUGGGAGGGACGGUGUACUGGGCGUCCGGGCUGCACCUGUACACGCCGCUGCCCUUCCAGCCGGGCAAGGGCGGGCUGGGCGAGCUGUUCCGCUCGCACCUCUUCCUCAACGCGGGCUGCUUGGCGCAUCCGGAGGAGGCGGGGCUGGCGGCGGCGGAGGCGCUGACGGAGGCGCGCGUGUCGUGCGGCGCGGGCGUGGCGCUGCGCCUGGGCCGUGCCGCGCGCGUCGAGCUCAACUACUGCGUGCCGCUGCGCGCGCGUGCGCACGACGUGCCCGCGCCCGGCCUGCAGCUCGGCGUGGCGGCGCACCUGCUGUAGCACGAGAGGUACGUCAGCUCGACUGCUGCGUGCCGCACGACGUGCCCGCGCCCGGCCUGCAGCUCGGCGUGGCGGCGCACCUGCUGUAGCACGAGAGGUACUCCAUCAACCUUGUAGACGACAUACGAAUUAUAAAUUAUUAUGAAAAUACAAAUAAUACUUAAUUGAAAUUAUGUACAACACAUUUAACUGUAUGGACAGUGACAAAAAAUAAAAUGUACACAAAGUAAUAGGACUGUUUUGUGCAGUAGUUCAAAUUGCAAUGUUUCUUAAUAAAUUAUUCUUUAUUUAAUAAUAAAUUAUGAGUAGUGACUUAUGUUAAGUUGUACUUAUUACUUGCCUGUCUCGACUGUAGACAAGUAUUAGUAAAGACAGUCCUUUGAGAUGUUGUAAGGUAUCAGAGUAAAUUGUCGUAUAUCGAUAAAAAGAACUCUGAUCUGGUUUAUCGUGAGAUUAGUAGAAUACGAGUUGAAAACGUUUUAUAUUUCAGUUAACACAUUAAUGACAGACACAGAAUUUUUUCUUACACCUAUUUUCAAUUACUUAAGCCAACGUCCAGCUGAUUUUGGACAUAAAAAGUAUUAACCUACUUCAUGUCUAUAA
rnacentral:misc_RNA from 1 species